ACAGCCUAUAUAACGUCGCGUCUGACGAAGCGCUGAAGGUGGGCCAGGCUUAUAUAUCUGCUCGUCGCCGCCGCCUCCCCUUGUCCCUCCCUCCUUCCUCGCACUCCAUCAUGGCGAUGCAUAACAAGGCCACAGCGCCUCAGAUCCCAGAUACGCGCCGGGAACUAGCCGAGCUAGUGAAGCGGAAACAGGAGCUAGCGGAAACGCUGGCAAAUCUGGAACGCCAGAUCUAUGCGUUCGAAGGAAGUUACCUGGAAGAUACGCAGAUGUAUGGAAAUAUUAUCAGGGGUUGGGACCGUUACUUAACAAACCAAAAGAACUCAAACAGUAAAAAUGAUAGAAGGAACAGAAAAUUCAAAGAAGCAGAAAGACUGUUCAGCAAAUCUUCAGUCACUUCAGCAGCGGCAGUGAGCGCGUUGGCUGGAGUACAAGACCAAAUGAUUGAUAAACGAGAACCAGGCAGCGGAACAGAAAGUGACAACUCUCCAGACUUUCAGAAUCAGGAAAAUGAGCCCAGCCAAGACGAUGCAGAAGAUCUAGAUGGCUCCCUGUCGGGUGUCAAGCCUCAGAAAGCAGCCUCAUCGACCAACUCCGGAGGACAUCAUAGCAGUCAUAAGAAACGCAAGAAUAAAAAUAGGCACAGUCUCAAUAUCUCCCGAUCAAGCACAGAGUGACGCCUGCGCUUCCUUGUUCAUGUGAUUGACCUCAAGCUAAACAAAAAGCCCAGAUCUGUAGGAUUAUUAAUGUGGCUUCGUCUUCAGCAUCAAGAAAAAAAUUCUGCAGAAAAAUGAAUUAUUCAUCCAGAAUUUUUAUUUACCCAAGACUGGACUAAAACAUUUCCUUUUACAUUAAAAAUAAAGAGAGACAUACUGAUGACUUUUAUAUGGCUGCAAAAAGGCUCUUUAGAAACCUGAUUUUAUUCUUCAUGAGGUCAUUUUUUUGUAUAGAGACUGUCCCCCUAUUCCAUGCUGAAGACUGAUUGCUGUGGCCAGAAUUGACACACAAGGACUGUAAACUAUUAAGGCUAUCUGCACUCUUACCUUAAAGGGUUUUCUGGGAGUUGAAUAUCUGUAUCCUAUCUGUUAUUUGCAGGGCUGCAUCACUCAGACGAGCGCCGCAGCCUCUUCAUGGUGUAUCGAGCACCGUAUUGUACAUUGUAAAGCGGCUGUGCUAUGUAUUGCAGCUCAGUCCCAUUCACUUGAAUGGGAGUGAGCUGCACAAAGACCAUGUGACCAAUGACAUCACGGGGCAAGGAAAAGGCUGCUGAUCGGCAGGGUUGUCAGGAGUUGUACCCCCACUGAUCUGAUAGCAGAGGUGACAUCAGAGUUUGCACUCUUAGGGUCCAUUCACACGUGCGGAUCCUCAAAACAUGGACACCUGCAAUGUGCGAUCCGCAAUUUGUGGACCGCACAUCAGACACUAUGAUAGAAAAUGCCUUUUCUGGUCCGCAAUUGUGGACAAGAAUAGGACAUGUGGAUCACGAAGAUGCAGAUGUGGAUCCCGGAAAUGCGGAUUCGCAUCCAUUCCAGCCCCGGAUGUGUGAAUAGACCCUUAAUGUGAAUGUGCUUGUAGCCUUACAGUAGCUUUUUGUAUAUGGAGCUGUUCAGUCUAGUGAACAGCUAGACCCGCCCCGACCUCCUAUGCGGUCACACAUUUCCAUUUUUUUUUUUUUUUUUUUUUUUUUAGUAAAUGUGUUUGUUUUCCUUCCUGUUUCAUAAUAUUUUCUGGAUUUCAUUGAAGGCCCCACUUUUAGCUGAGGCUGGGGGCACUGAAGUAUAAUUCUACAAGGCAAGACUGGUACUUUAAAUGCAGUAGGGUUUCAUUUCUUUUUUUAAAAUUGUGAAUGUGUAUAUAUAUUAUUAUUUUGUUUUUUUAUUGUUCAUUUAGAAUGCUGUUUUCUAGUGAUAUACAAUGCCACAUUGAAUGAAUUUUGCCCAAAUUAGGCAAACCAAUACAUAGUAGUUGUUACAGGUGGCAAAAAAGUAUUUUUCUUUUUUCCAAGGAUUCUUUCAAUUUAAAUUAUAAAGUAUAAUGGUUUUUUGGAAAAGGAAGUUCUUCUGCAAGUCUCUCUUCUGAGAAGCCUAUUCACAUAUCGUGCUGGCUCACCUCCUCUGCACCUGUAUGUGUGAAUAGUUAUAAUUUUCCCUCCUGACAAAUAGGAUUUUAAGACUCGUUCUUGAGUUUUUUUAAAUAGUUAAACAAGCUGUCAUCCUGUUUUGGGCUGUAUGUAUGCCCUCCACAUGGACAUAUCCUAUUCCCAACAAAUGAAAUGUUAGAUCUCUUCUCCAUUUACUGUGGAUUUACACAAUAAACCAACUAUUUGCUA